rnacentral:rRNA from 1 species
CGGGGGGGGGGGUGCUUACACAUGCAGUCGAACGAUGAAGCCCUUCGGGGUGGAUUAGUGGCGAACGGGUGAGUAACACGUGGGCAAUCUGCCCUUCACUCUGGGACAAGCCCUGGAAACGGGGUCUAAUACCGGAUACGAGGUUCGCAGGCAUCUGUGAACCUGGAAAGCUCCGGCGGUGAAUUGUGAGCCCCGCGGGCUUUCCAGCUUGUUGGUGAGGUACUUGGUCACCAAGGCGGCGACGGGUAGCCGGCCUGAGAGGGCGACCGGCCACACUGGGACUGAGACACGUCCCAGACUCCUACGGGAGGCAGCAGUGGGGAAUAUUGCACAAUGGGCGAAAGCCUGAUGCAGCGACGCCGCGUGAGGGAUGACGGCCUUCGGGUUGUAAACCUCUUUCAGCAGGGAAGAAGCGCAAGUGACGGUACCUGCAGAAGAAGCGCCGGGCUAACUACGUGCCAGCAGCCGCGGUAAUACGUAGGGCGCAAGCGUUGUCCGGGAAUUAUUGGGCGUAAAGAGCUCGUAGGCGGCUUGUCACGUCGAUUGUGAAAGCCCGAGGCUUAACCUCGGGUCUGCAGUCGAUACGGGCUAGCUAGAGUGUGGUAGGGGAGAUCGGAAUUCCUGGUGUAGCGGUGAAAUGCGCAGAUAUCAGGAGGAACACCGGUGGCGAAGGCGGAUCUCUGGGCCAUUACUGACGCUGAGGAGCGAAAGCGUGGGGAGCGAACAGGAUUAGAUACCCUGGUAGUCCACGCCGUAAACGGUGGGAACUAGGUGUUGGCGACAUUCCACGUCGUCGGUGCCGCAGCUAACGCAUUAAGUUCCCCGCCUGGGGAGUACGGCCGCAAGGCUAAAACUCAAAGGAAUUGACGGGGGCCCGCACAAGCGGCGGAGCAUGUGGCUUAAUUCGACGCAACGCGAAGAACCUUACCAAGGCUUGACAUACACCGGAAAGCAUUAGAGAUAGUGCCCCCCUUGUGGUCGGUGUACAGGUGGUGCAUGGCUGUCGUCAGCUCGUGUCGUGAGAUGUUGGGUUAAGUCCCGCAACGAGCGCACCCUUUGUUCUGUGUUGCCAGCAUGCCCUUCGGGGUGAUGGGGACUCACAGGGAGACCGGCGGGGUCAACUCGGAGGAAGGUGGGGACGAACGUCAAGUCAUCAUGCCCCUUAUGUCUUGGGCUGCACACGUGCUACAAUGGCCUGUACAAAGAGCUGCUAUACCGUGAGGUGGAGCGAAUCUCAAAAAGCCGGUCUCAGUUCGGAUUGGGGGUCAUGCAACUCGACCCCAUGAAGUCGGAGUCGCUAGUAAUCGCAGAUCAGCAUUGCUGCGGUGAAUACGUUCCCGGGCCUUGUACACACCGCCCGUCACGUCACGAAAGUUGGUAACACCCGAAGCCGGUGGCCCAACCCCUUGUGGGAGGGAGCUUCGAAAGGGGGG